CGUCGAGCUACUACGGUAGUGAAGUCAUUGAUGCCAUGCUUCCAGGAAAAGCCUCUAAGCUUCAGAUUGUAAGGAAUCGUACCCCAAACCGACACAGGUGGUCGGGUAGAGAAUACCAAGGCGCUUGAGAGAACUCGGGUGAAGGAACUAGGCAAAAUGGUACCGUAACUUCGGGAGAAGGUACGCUCUUGAUGGUGAAGUCCCUUGCGGAUGGAGCUGACGAGAGUCGCAGAUACCAGGUGGCUGCAACUGUUUAUUAAAAACACAGCACUGUGCAAAAUCGUAAGAUGACGUAUACGGUGUGACGCCUGCCCGGUGCCGGAA
rnacentral:rRNA from 1 species